CUUGGAUAGGUCUGUAUGAUGAUUUGAUAAACAGCUGGAGAUGGUCCCUGAAUGACAGCAGCUUCUAUGGUAAAGGAGAGACAGAGUUUAGAAACUGGCAUAAUGACAGUGACCAGCCCAAUAACCUUGGAGGACAACAGUACUGUGUGGAGCUUCUUAGUGGUUCACACUUGGGGAAAUGGGGAGACACUGAGUGCAGCGCACAACGACAUUUUGUGUGCUACAAUGGUACAGUAAAUGGCAUAUCAUCUUUUAUAAAGGUCAACACAUCUCUGAAUUGGACCGAUGCUCAGACAUUCUGCAGGGAGAAUUAUGUUGAUCUAGCCAGCAUACGAAAUCAGACAGAAAAUGACAUUAUCACAAACCUGGCAAAUGGGGAGUUUGUGUGGAUCGGUCUUCACCGGGAAAAAGUUUGGUCUGAUGGAAGCACCUCUCUAUUUCGACACUGGGCUGCCAGGCAACCAAACUCUGGGACCCUUAGGUGUGUCACCACUUUGUUCAAUGACUCAGGACUGUGGUCAACUGAAGAUUGCGCAACAACAUUGCCAUUCAUCUGUUA